CAGAGACUGAGAACGAAGAAGUGAAGAACUACCUCAUGGAAAAGUACUGGUACACCUGUUGUACCACCUACAAAUGAAUUAUGUAUGAGCUUUGUAAAAUAAAAGAAGGUGUUAGGUAACGAGUGGAGAGACACCCAGUUGUUCAGGGUUCUCCCAUGGGCUGAUGUCAUGAGAAGUAUUUGUGUGUCUGACUAUUGUAUGUAUAGGUGAAGAGGGCUCCUGCGGCUGAUCGGUUCCAGGCUGAGAGAAGAAUUUCUUCCACAGGAUACAUAUUACAACAGAAAAAUUAGAGUAAACAAGGAUAAGCAUGUAUUAACCCAGGAGUAGAGGAGAAGCACCAAGGCAGCAGGAGAC
rnacentral:lncRNA from 1 species